CAGCAGCCGAGAAGGGUUUGGGGAGCUGAGAGGAGGGGGAGGCCAAGCGAAGGAGCAAGAGGAUAACUCUUUUAGCAAAGCAGAUUCAUUGACAAUGCUGAAGUCAUUUAAAGCCACAGCACCUUGUUCCUCUGGAGGAUUUACCAAUGGCUUGGACCAACAGACAUUUAUUGAGCACCAAGGAUAUCUCUGGAACUGUAUUAGGCACCAAGGAUAUAGCACAGUUUUAGAACCCAAGCUUGUCUUCUACUCAUGGUUCUCACACCACAGUACCACUCCUCUGCUGCCCACCAAUCAGAAAAACAUGACUACGUCUCCACAGGCAUGCAGACCUCUGAGGGCAGCUAUUGACCUUGUGUUGACAGCAGUGACACAGAGCUUUAGGAGAGUCACUUUGAACCUCAAGUUUUUCACCUUGAAAAUUCUUCCUUUGCCUGAAGAUCUAGCAAGAUAUGACAGUGUAAAGAUGAUUUAAAAUAAAGAUACAGG
ensembl:lncRNA